rnacentral:ncRNA from 2 species
UUACCUUUGCACCGAAUUGGUUUCAGGAGCCGUUUUUUGCGUUCCGAAUUAAAAGGGAAUCGGGUGAGAACCCCGAACAGUCCCGCUGCUGUGAUGCUCCGUUAGCUUUCUGAAGUACAAGCCACUGGCCAUUCUUCGUUUCCGGCCGGGAAGGUUUCAGGAAGAGGGCGAGUCAGAAGACCUGCCGUUCAUCGAAGUUCGUU